GUGAAGCUAUGCAGCAUUUUACUGUAGUUAGAUUUUUGUAUAGAAUCAACGUUUGCAGCUAAAAAAAAAAGUAACAAAAAAUACUUACAAAGGGUUAAAACGAUAAUUUUACACGUUUAAGCGGCAAUUGAAUCAAGUUCAUUUUUUAAGGCCAUAAAGAUAUUUGAAGUAAAUAUCAUAAUUAAUUUACAAAUAGAAAUUAAAUACGAAAUGGCAUAACCAAAAAAUAUUUUUAUAAUUUGCGGCACUUUCACAUAAUUCAUAAUGCAUUACAAAAUGUAUAAAUAAAAGAAACCAAAUACCAAUCACAUUAUGUACAACAAUAACGUAGUUAAAUUUUUUUAGUUUUUACUUGCUAUUUAUAUAAAUAUAUUUACACAAGGAAAACCGAUCGGAAGAAUGUAAACUUAAAUGUAGACCUAAAACUAAAACAGAAAACGUGAAAGGCGAUAAAAAAAUUAUUAAUUGAAUAUUAAAAACAAAAUAUAAAUAAAUCGAAAUCAGAGCAGAACGCGCAUAAUGACAAUUAGUUUAGUUGAAGCAGCCACAAAAAAUAUAAAACAUUUUUAAAUAAAAAUUAAAACGCUAAAAAAAGGUAAUUUUAAACAUUUGUCUAAAAUGUGAAGAGAAAAAACAAAAGAAAAAAAAUGAUAAAUGUAUAAAAUAAAAGGUAUAAUAAUAUUAUGUUGUUAAUGUUUAAAAAACCUUGUUAAAAAUAAUAUUUCAAAAUAAAAUAUUAAUACAG
rnacentral:lncRNA from 1 species